rnacentral:tmRNA from 1 species
GCACUUCCCAAGCGCGCUGCGAGCACCUAUAUUGUCGGGGUCGGCGGGCGACCGUCGACUAUGGCGAUAAACGCUGCUCGGAAUAAGCGUUGCGGACCCGGGGGCAGUACCCGGCGCCUCCACCACCCCAUGGGCCGGCGGCCCGCGUUAUGGGGGCGAACCAGGAUCGACGUGCGUGGUAAAGGUGUGGUUUUCGCCCGGCAUGGUACCGCCGUUAUCGGGCCAACUCAGAGGUGCGAACGACAACGAAGUCGCACUCGCUGCCUAGCAUCGCUAGGCAAGCGCGGCUUGGGGGGCGCCGGGCAACAGAAGCCCCCCGCU